UUAACACAUGCAAGUCGAGGGGCAUCAGGAAGAAAGCUUGCCUUCUUUGCUGGCGACCGGCGCACGGGUGAGUAACACGUAUCCAACCUGCCCUUUACUCGGGGAUAGCCUUUCGAAAGAAAGAUUAAUACCCGAUAGCAUAAUGAUUCCGCAUGGUUUCAUUAUUAAAGGAUUCCGGUAAAGGAUGGGGAUGCGUUCCAUUAGGUUGUUGGUGAGGUAACGGCCCACCAAGCCUUCGAUGGAUAGGGGUUCUGAGAGGAAGGUCCCCCACAUUGGAACUGAGACACGGUCCAAACUCCUACGGGAGGCAGCAGUGAGGAAUAUUGGUCAAUGGGCGCUAGCCUGAACCAGCCAAGUAGCGUGAAGGAUGAAGGCUCUAUGGGUCGUAAACUUCUUUUAUAUAAGAAUAAAGUGCAGUAUGUAUACUGUUUUGUAUGUAUUAUAUGAAUAAGGAUCGGCUAACUCCGUGCCAGCAGCCGCGGUAAUACGGAGGAUCCGAGCGUUAUCCGGAUUUAUUGGGUUUAAAGGGAGCGUAGGUGGACUGGUAAGUCAGUUGUGAAAGUUUGCGGCUCAACCGUAAAAUUGCAGUUGAUACUGUCAGUCUUGAGUACAGUAGAGGUGGGCGGAAUUCGUGGUGUAGCGGUGAAAUGCUUAGAUAUCACGAAGAACUCCGAUUGCGAAGGCAGCUCACUGGACUGCAACUGACACUGAUGCUCGAAAGUGUGGGUAUCAAACAGGAUUAGAUACCCUGGUAGUCCACACAGUAAACGAUGAAUACUCGCUGUUUGCGAUAUACAGUAAGCGGCCAAGCGAAAGCAUUAAGUAUUCCACCUGGGGAGUACGCCGGCAACGGUGAAACUCAAAGGAAUUGACGGGGGCCCGCACAAGCGGAGGAACAUGUGGUUUAAUUCGAUGAUACGCGAGGAACCUUACCCGGGCUUAAAUUGCAGUGGAAUGAUGUGGAAACAUGUCAGUGAGCAAUCACCGCUGUGAAGGUGCUGCAUGGUUGUCGUCAGCUCGUGCCGUGAGGUGUCGGCUUAAGUGCCAUAACGAGCGCAACCCUUAUCUUUAGUUACUAACAGGUUAUGCUGAGGACUCUAGAGAGACUGCCGUCGUAAGAUGUGAGGAAGGUGGGGAUGACGUCAAAUCAGCACGGCCCUUACGUCCGGGGCUACACACGUGUUACAAUGGGGGGUACAGAAGGCAGCUAGCGGGCGACCGUAUGCUAAUCCCAAAAUCCUCUCUCAGUUCGGAUCGAAGUCUGCAACCCGACUUCGUGAAGCUGGAUUCGCUAGUAAUCGCGCAUCAGCCACGGCGCGGUGAAUACGUUCCCGGGCCUUGUACACACCGCCCGUCAAGCCAUGGGAGCCGGGGGUACCUGAAGUACGUAACCGCAAGGAUCGUCCUAGGGUAAAACUGGUGACUGGGGCUACG
rnacentral:rRNA from 1 species